UACGUAGGGGGCAAGCGUUGUCCGGAUUCAUUGGGCGUAAAGAGCGUGUAGGCGGCCAGGUAGGUCGGUUGUGAAAACUGGAGGCUCAACCUUCAGACGUCGACCGAAACCAUCUGGCUAGAGUCCGGGAGAGGAGAGUGGAAUUCCUGGUGUAGCGGUGAAAUGCGCAGAUAUCAGGAAGACCACCCGUGGCGAAGGCGGAUCUCUGGGCCUGUCCUGACGCUGAGGCGCGAAAGCUAGGGGAGCGAACAGG
rnacentral:rRNA from 1 species